UAUCAAGAGGUAAAAGUGCAUCCACGUUGUAAAUGGACCGAAUCUAAUGAUGGAAAUGUGGAUGAAGUUACCACGAAUGUAUUUGAAGACAUACUAAAUGGUUAUGAGCGCGUGUCAGAUGUCGGGACAAAUGCAUCCGAAAUGUGCAUCUGUUGUCCUGCAAAUGUGCCGAAGGAUAUCCUCAAGUAUUUGGACGGCGAAGACCAAGUCCCAAGUAAUUCUUUCCUCAACUCUGUCAUGAAGUGCACAUCAAGAGAACACGCUUAUUCUUGAAGGAUGAUUUCCUUCUCUUUGUGUUUGUCAUGACAGGCUCCACUGUGACGGCGACCAAUCGUGUUUGCCUUUCGCCGGCGCCCAAUAUGAGUUGCCGUUUGUCUCCGGGGAGGAGGACGAGUCAAUCGGGCGAGAUAUCACUGGGGCAAAGGGGUCCCGUCGUUGCAAAGGGCGGCGCCAGGGAGCCGACGGGGGAGAUUGGGAAGGAGAAGCGCAGGAAGCGGCUUUAAAACUCUUCUUUGACGCUGAUGGGCAGCGAGGACGGCGACACCAGGCCGGACGGCGACACCAGGCCGCUGCUGCUGCUGGUCACCAUGGCGACGCUGCCGGACGACGAGGCGGGCUGCUGCUGCUGUUGCUUCUUCUUGCUGAUCUUGCGUUCCUUGGCACGCCGGUUCUGGAACCAGAUCUUCACCUGGAGGCCACCGAUACCAACGGGCAGGCGCUAGCAACGAGAACUUCAUCCGUCGGCUACUUGAUGCACGCCUGGAAUCACCUGCGGCAACAUCGUUGAAACGAUGGAAUAGAAGGUCGUUUCAAAAGUUUCAUUUCAUGGCAUUUGACGUGAACACUUGCGGAAACAAUUUUAUGAAUUUGAGGCUUCCGUCGUGCAAAUUCAAACGAGACAUUUUCUUUUUCAUUUGAGAUCAUCAAGGAAUUCUCAUUCAUGCCCUCAUUUUUGGAAACUAUUCAUCAACUUCCACCCUCCAACACACUUGAACUCUUUUGGAAAUUAAAAGCUUCUUGUGUUUUUUUUCCCCGCUUCCUUUUUAUUCAGUUCAUCUGUCAAAUUACAUUUGCAUCGCCAAGUUAAUUGAGAAGAAGCGAGCGCUAAACUGACAAAAUGCCGACUGAGUAAGCUAGCAACAAAUGGUGGCAGCUCACAUUUUCAAGGUCACACUUGAUGUCUUGAUGUGAGAAUUUCGUUCAACGGAAAAAAACAAAACCAAUCGGCAUGUUUCUCACCGGAUCCUUCUGGAGCGUGUGAAAUUUUGCAGCGGAGGAGACCGCUUGUCGACGAUUUAUGGAUUUACGAGGUUACCUUUUUAUUGUUUUACACUCAUGACUUUUCUUUGUCUGAGGCCCUAAAGGACACUUCAUUAGGUAUACACACUUUUCACCUUCGCGCAUGUGUAUGUAAAGUGUGUGUGUGUGUGUGUGGGUGCG